CACCGCGGUUAGACGAGAGACCCAAGUUGACAUCAAACGGCGUAAAGAGUGGUUAAGAACCUUCCAAACUAAAGCUAAACCCCCUCCUGGCCGUUAUACGCAUCCGAAAGGGUGAGACACCACUACAAAAGUAGCUUUAUAAUUGCCUGACUCCACGACAGUUAAGAAA
rnacentral:rRNA from 1 species